UACGGAGGGUGCAAGCGUUAAUCGGAAUUACUGGGCGUAAAGCGUGCGCAGGCGGUUUGUUAAGUCCGUUGUGAAAUCCCUGAGCUCAACUUGGGAAUUGCAAUGGAUACUGGCAAGCUGGAGUAUGGUAGAGGAAGGUGGAAUUCCCGGUGUAGCAGUGAAAUGCGUAGAGAUCGGGAGGAACACCAGUGGCGAAGGCGGCCUUCUGGACCAAUACUGACGCUCAUGCACGAAAGCGUGGGGAGCAAACAGG
rnacentral:rRNA from 1 species